rnacentral:tRNA from 2 species
AGUUGGUAGAGCAGCGGACUGAAAAUCCGCGUGUCGGUGGUUCGAAUCCGCCUCUGGGCACCA